GGAAGCUAGAAGAGGAAGUGAGAGCAGCGACAAAGGCAGAGAAGAGGCCACCUUUUCUGUUCUGCUUUUUUCACAAGAUGCUCAACAGGAAAAAGAAUCCGUCUCAAUGAGAGAAAACUAUAAAUAGGACCAAAUAAAGUGACAUGUUAGCUCACAGAGGUUCUGCUUCACACCUACUGCUCUUCAGAUACCAUCUCCCUUACGUAAAGUAGUUGUGACAAGCAGCCUUGCCACUUCCCAGCACCAAAUACUACAGGAGUCAACACGGUGUUACUUGCUCCCAACACAGCUGAUCAUGCAGGUGCUCAAGGGAAGAGAAAAGGCAUUUUGAUGGGAUCUGAGAGCAUGGAUGAGUUGUUGCAUUUAUAUUAAAGUACUUCUAUUCUAUUCUGCAAAAAGCCUGAUUCUCACACCCAGUUAUGUCCGGUUAUGUGAGAUCAGAAUCAAGCUGACAUUCAGGGAAAUCCCAAGCCAGCAGCUAUGAAAAACUUUCCUCCAGAUUGUUUCCACCAGGGUUUAUAAAAUACAUGUGUUCUGGGGCCCCUUUGGGCUAUGAUGCGCAGUCUCCUCUCGCUUGAAACAAAAUAGUAGGGGGAUCUCAGCAUUUCCAUGGGGAAAUCAUAAUCACAGCAGGCAAGGACUUGAGCACCCAAGUCUUUUAAGGAGCUAUCUGACUCAACCUGCACCCAGCUUUAUCUUGACAGCUAAGCUUCUUUCAUCUCUCUAUCAGGCCACCUGCUCACUGAGCAUCUUUGCCCUUGCUGUAAGGUGCUGCCACAUCUUACCACCAACGGCCCACAGCCUGACUUCUGCACUAGCCUUGGCACAACAGCCUGUGACAGUUCCAGAGAAGUUUUGUGACAGGAGCCUGGCUGACUGAUCAAUCCAUAGUCAUUCAAAAAUCGCUGCAGUGGGGACAGAAAAGAGGACGGGCUAGUUUGAGCACCAUGGCACUAUUAAAGGCUGGGAACCUGGAGGAUACACUGCCAACAGUGGAGGCGGAAGUAGGUACUUCCCAGUGGGAGCAUUUGACCUUGUAACAGACAUCCUGAUGGAGCAAGAACAGUGGCAUAGAGCGUACAAAGCUGUAUGAAUUCGACUGUGUGGACCAGGGAUCUGGGCAGUGUCACUGUGAGCUGCUGCGAUCGAUGUGAGUUGCUGCAAUCCAUCCUUACAGAAAAAGGCAUCUGGGCUCAGCUAAAGAUGACUGCUGAAUCCCAAAAAACUGCAAAGAGCAUGAGGUGAAGAAAGCGACCUGUGGGACAAGGGACUCUUCUGAAGCAGGAAGAUGCUUUGAGGUUUUCAGUAAACCUACAGCUGGCUUCUUCAGUCACUUUAAAUCUGAAGCCUGGCAUGUUUGUUCUUCUGACCACUUUUAAGCAGUGAAAUAGCAUUGAAACUGUCUUACUGCCAGAAUGCAUUGCUGCAGCAAAAGCAGGUCAGGGUGAGAGGGAGGGAGCGCUGCGCCAGCAAACUGCAGCUUUCAGUUCAGCAGCAGAUGCAGGCAUGAACUUGGAUCUUACCUUUCCCUUUUUGAAGGACCUUCACCUUCCCCUGGAGAUCAGCAAUCUUCCUGUCCUGCAGAUGUGGGACAGAAAGACAGAGCCAUGAUCUUGGUUAGAAGGUCUGCAGUAGAACCUUCUAACUGCUGGAGAUGCAGUUUACCCGACAGCUUCAAUAAUGGCAGCUGGGCCUUAGCUACUGGGGGAGUUUGCUGUAGGGAGACUCUCUGCUUUCUGAUCCAUUUGGAUCUUGUAAAAUGAAGAGAAGAAAAGAAACAUCCAAAACAGAAGAGUCACUGACAUCAGCAAAUUCAGUCAUUGCGGUUCAUUUUUACGCAGGAUCACAGCAGGUUCAACACUCUAGUGCCUCCCCGCCCUCCAAACCGCAUUGACAAGGCAGCAGUUGUGCUUCUGCGGUGGAUGCUUUCUGUACUUAGAAUAAAAGCCUUGUCUACAGAUUAUACUGCCUUAGUCCAAACUAGACCCAAACGUGGUCCUGCCUAUUGUGGCUUACACCGUGAACAACCGGGCUGGCAAUUUUACCUUCAGC